AGAGUUUGAUCAUGGCUCAGAUUGAACGCUGGCGGCAGGCCUAACACAUGCAAGUCGAACGGUAACAGGAAACAGCUUGCUGUUUCGCUGACGAGUGGCGGACGGGUGAGUAAUGUCUGGGAAACUGCCUGAUGGAGGGGGAUAACUACUGGAAACGGUAGCUAAUACCGCAUAAUGUCGCAAGACUAAAGAGGGGGACCUUCGGGCCUCUUGCCAUCGGAUGUGCCCAGAUGGGAUUAGCUAGUAGGUGGGGUAACGGCUCACCUAGGCGACGAUCCCUAGCUGGUCUGAGAGGAUGACCAGCCACACUGGAACUGAGACACGGUCCAGACUCCUACGGGAGGCAGCAGUGGGGAAUAUUGCACAAUGGGCGCAAGCCUGAUGCAGCCAUGCCGCGUGUAUGAAAAAGGCCUUCGGGUUGUAAAGUACUUUCAGCGGGGAGGAAGGGAGUAAAGUUAAUACCUUUACUCAUUGACGUUACCCGCAGAAGAAGCACCGGCUAACUCCGUGCCAGCAGCCGCGGUAAUACGGAGGGUGCAAGCGUUAAUCGGAAUUACUGGGCGUAAAGCGCACGCAGGCGGUUUGUUAAGUCAGAUGUGAAAUCCCCGGGCUCAACCUGGGAACUGCAUCUGAUACUGGCAAGCUUGAGUCUCGUAGAGGGGGGUAGAAUUCCAGGUGUAGCGGUGAAAUGCGUAGAGAUCUGGAGGAAUANGUGAGACAGGUGCUGCAUGGCUGUCGUCAGCUCGUGUUGUGAAAUGUUGGGUUAAGUCCCGCAACGAGCGCAACCCUUAUCCUUUGUUGCCAGCGGUCCGGCCGGGAACUCAAAGGAGACUGCCAGUGAUAAACUGGAGGAAGGUGGGGAUGACGUCAAGUCAUCAUGGCCCUUACGACCAGGGCUACACACGUGCUACAAUGGCGCAUACAAAGAGAAGCGACCUCGCGAGAGCAAGCGGACCUCAUAAAGUGCGUCGUAGUCCGGAUUGGAGUCUGCAACUCGACUCCAUGAAGUCGGAAUCGCUAGUAAUCGUGGAUCAGAAUGCCACGGUGAAUACGUUCCCGGGCCUUGUACACACCGCCCGUCACACCAUGGGAGUGGGUUGCAAAAGAAGUAGGUAGCUUAACCUUCGGGAGGGCGCUUACCACUUUGUGAUUCAUGACUGGGGUGAAGUCGUAACAAGGUAACCGUAGGGGAACCUGCGGUUG
rnacentral:rRNA from 1 species